UGGAAAAACAUACACCCUUUUGACCAAAUAAAAAAACAUACAGCCUCGUAUUUCUCUCUCCCCGAUACUUCUCCCUCUUCACCUUCGUUUUCUCUCUCCUCUGCCGCCACCGUCGCCGUCGCUUCCUCACCGCCGGAGAUCAUCGUCGAACAUUUGUGUCGAUGUGUAGUUGUUCAUUGUUGGUGUGGGUUGAUUGUUGCAGUAGCUCCACUCUCCAUCUCACUUGUCUCUGCGGUCUCUCUCAUCUCCAAUCCGUACCUCUGCCGUCAACGGUGGUCGUGAAUCCACCAUCAACUUUACUCCAUUAUCAAGUGCUAUGGACUAUCUUGCCCUGCUCCUGACUUCGAAGAAGAUUCUUUUUCUGCUACUGUAAAGGAUGUCCUUUGUGAGAAGGGGAUUUUUGUCAUUAAUGUGGUCUUAAGAUCUCCAUCCAUAAAGGAAGUGGUUGUAUCAAGGAUGAGAACGGUGUACCAAUACUGCACAUUGCUGCACUUCUCGUCGCUCCCUGGCGUUUGCACUUAGAUAAAUGAGAAGGUUCAAGCUUGGGGGGAAGCCAUCAAGCAAACACCUUUCAGUUUCAGUGUUCAAGCAAGCUCAAGUACACCUCACACGUUAUAUGGAAGAAAACCUCACCGAGCCAGCUACUAAUUUCGGGUAUUCAAUAAUCCGAGGGAGCGGCCUUUCACCUUUGAGGAGAUAGAUGAAGUUCGAGAAAUGUUGGCAAACUUCAUUAUCAGUGAUUGUCUUUGAUAUUUUCUUGUACUGAAUCUUAAAUUAUGGAUGCUAGUUUUUCAUAUGAUUGUAAUGUAAUCGACUUUUAUAUUUACAAUUAUAUAUUAUUUAAUUUAAUUAUC